AGGGUUAUUGAGGAGGGUACUUUUUAUAACGUUAGCAUCAUUUUGGUAUUCAAGUAUUAAUAAUUUUGGUAGAGAAGCCAUGUUAUGAGCCAAGUUAGCUGUGGUGAUUUGAGAGGGUUAUUGAGGAGGGUACUUUUUAUAACGUUAGCAUCAUUUUGGUAUUCAAGUAUUAGAGAGCAAGGAAAUUUUGGGAAGCUUAUUACC
rnacentral:lncRNA from 1 species